rnacentral:ncRNA from 1 species
UAGAGUAGAAAAUAAGUAGUUAAGUGUUGCUAAACGGGAAGUUGUUAGCAAACGAAGGUUAAAAAUCCGCUGACCUAUUUUCGCAUUCCGCUA